rnacentral:rRNA from 1 species
AUUGAACGCUGGCGGCAGGCCUAACACAUGCGAGUCGAGCGGAUGAAGGGAGCUUGCUCCUGGAUUCAGCGGCGGACGGGUGAGUAAUGCCUAGGAAUCUGCCUGGUAGUGGGGGAUAACGUCCGGAAACGGGCGCUAAUACCGCAUACGUCCUGAGGGAGAAAGUGGGGGAUCUUCGGACCUCACGCUAUCAGACGAGCCUAGGUCGGAUUAGCUAGUUGGUGGGGUAAAGGCCUACCAAGGCGACGAUCCGUAACUGGUCUGAGAGGAUGAUCAGUCACACUGGAACUGAGACACGGUCCAGACUCCUACGGGAGGCAGCAGUGGGGAAUAUUGGACAAUGGGCGAAAGCCUGAUCCAGCCAUGCCGCGUGUGUGAAGAAGGUCUUCGGAUUGUAAAGCACUUUAAGUUGGGAGGAAGGGCAGUAAGUUAAUACCUUGCUGUUUUGACGUUACCAACAGAAUAAGCACCGGCUAACUUCGUG